rnacentral:sRNA from 1 species
AGGUUUGGGAUUUUAUCUCAGGAAAACAUAUGCAAACUCAAGCUUAUCCUUUUGCCAUAACUUCCAUUGCCCUUCACCAAAGAGAAAGUCUUUUGUUUUGCGGAACAGAAAAAGGAAUAAUAUUUGUCGAGAAGCUCGAUGUUGGUCGUGGAGAAGGUCCUUUUCUUGUCAUUAAAGGGCAGCCACUUGAACUGAAAGGACACAGUGGAGCCAUUACUGCCUUAACCUCAUCUCGAUCAUCCCUAAUAUCUGCCUCUGAAGAUUGUUCGAUUUGCGUUUGGGACAUCUUUAGUUGGGAAAUCACUCGAAGGUUUAGUCUCCAUAAAGGGAAAGUAACCAAUCUUGUGGUGGUUUCACGAUCUUCGUUGCUUUCUACAUCAAAAAACAGGAGAGUCUCGAAUGAAUAUAUUAUUUCUCCACUUGACAAGUAUCCGCAAUUGUCCAACUCAAUCAAGGGAACUCUCCAUUCCUCAUUAUAUAGAGGAAAAACUUGCAUUGAUUUGAAAAGUUCUGAAUUAUUGAAACAGAAGAUUUUUGAUACACAGAAAGUAGAUGUACCAACAAUCACAACCUUGCAAAUGAGAGUGGAAGCAAGUGUAAAGAAUCAUGUAUGGGCAACAAACAUGACAAACCAUGUCAUGGUGAUAAACAAACAGUU